rnacentral:lncRNA from 1 species
GAUACGAAUUCCCAAAGAACGGCACACACUUGGUCGGUAUCGGAUGGAUAGAUCCUUGACUCCAAACGGAUCCACGGAGAAGAUGCUAAGGGGUGGGUCGGAACCCGAAGAUCCUUAGGCCCAAACUCGCGGUGAAAGGCUUGAAACAAGGGGGUGACUAAGCUGGCUGAUUGGAUCCGCGGAAAAAGGAUGUUAAGGCGUGAGAACUAGGUUCCUGAAAAUCCCUAAGCCCCUUUAACUACUUGAACGUUCCAACGAGACAACUGGGUGAAGGCUGCGUCAAGUUCUAUGGAUUGAACUUGAUAAACCGAAAAGAUUCAAGAGGCUAACCACCUAAGGAAUCGAAAAAAAGUUCUAAAAGAACAAAGGAGAAAACUCAGAUUUUAUUUGAUAAGUGAAUUGCCCAAAAUGAGAAGGGGAACAAGCCUUUAUAUAGCAGGCGAAGUAGCUCAAGAGACAAACUCGAAAAUGACAGAAAAAUUAAUAAAGUCUUGACCGAAAUAAAUGAACUAAAGACUGACUCUUCGGCUGGCCUUUGACUGACUCUUGAGUUGCCAAGCCGAAAAUGACUCUUGCUAUUCCGACCCAUGAACCAGACCGUAAACCAAUCCUAGGUCGAGAGAUGGGCAAUGGACUUAACCUCGUUAAAACCCCACCCGGUAAACCCAUUGGGACAAACCCGGGUGUAAGGAAAAAGAGUAUUAAACCAUCACCCAGACCAGAUUAGUUACAGCCGGCGUUCAUGAGCACGGUCACGAUCUUGGGUGAUGCUGGGUCGCCUGGUCCAAUCUUGAUCCCAUUAAGUACAGCCUGGACCGUUCCUGCCAGCUUCUUAGCUCUGGAUCGCGUCAUAGGUCCAUCCGGUACAGACAAAUGUGCUUCCGGAACCUCGAUUCCAUUGUUUGGGUCAUCCUUUGGGUC